AAAUGUUGAACAAGUGACCUAGACGUGUUUAACAUUUCUAGAUGUGAUAGCAUGUUAUCCAUUCAAUAUUUUAUAUGAGUAGGCACACCGCGUUUUGGUUACCCCCGGUAGCCCAGAUGGUAGAGUCUAACAGUCUAACGGUCUAACAGAGAGGCAGCGGCUGUAGCUCAUAAAUAUUCGUCAAGCAGUUCUAUUGCUACGGGCAAGUCCCUGUGCCCAGCCCGGACUUCUCGAUUUCGUAGUUGAUCUAUUAGAAUUUGCAAUAGAAUAGCAUCUGACAGCUUCUCUACCUCAAGAGGAAAUAACAGAGACUUUUAUCGACUAGUUGUCAUUGUAAUUUUUCACACCCGUUUUUCACUGGAUUUCUGUCCAGUUAUUCUAUUAUCUUUUUAUCCCUUCCGUUCCCUUUUGGAUUUACGAAGGGCGUAUUGGUGGUCAGACUGUGCCGGGAGUUUGUUAUCCUGUCCUUCGAUAUAUUUGAGGAAUGACUGCAACUGGAAAAGGACAGCGAAUCGCUUGAAUGGAAAAAAUGGAAUACAACGAUCUUGAGAACGAUUUUGAUGAGAAACUGACAUUAACAGAGAAAUGUCUCCCCUCCACACCAGAGCCUCGGCCCAUCCAGAAUGAAGACAAGGAGAUAAUCAAGGACCUACUGACACCAGAUGACUCAGACAUUUCAGACCUCUCCCCAAACACAGAGUCCUGUCCCAAAACAGACCUCUCCCCAAACACAGAGAUCUGUCCCAAAACAGACCUCUCCCCAAACACAGAGAUCUGUCCCAAAACAGGGCCCACCUCAAAGACAGAGUCCUCCACCAAGACAGAUGCCAGACCUGGCACCCCUGGGUCUAGUACCAGCCCCCAGCCUAAAAAAGGAGGUACGGUAUACAACGUCUCACCUCUGAGCCCCAGAGAGAGAGAGAACCAGGAGGAUAAGGAAAUAGCCUGGGGUUACAUAUACAGUGUAAUGUGUAGAGUAAGGGAGCUAUUGAAGCUGGUCUACCUGUACACAGAGGGGAGAACCAUCCAAUGCUUCUGGUGAUCGAAUUGAUCUUUAGUCAUUACACACCCAAUCAGACAGAUGGCAAUGGCUGAACCCCAAAUCGUUUGUUGUGGAUGGUACGGUAUGCAGGAAUAAGGAGGUGGGGUUUGAGGAGGAGGGGGGAGUCCUGAGGCCCUGUGUUGGGACAGGAGGACCUCAGGCUCAGGGAGUUUUCCUGAACACUCUCCAGCCUGUCUCUUCAGACUCCAGCCUUAUAAGACUCCAGUACAGAAAUUCACCCUUUGAUGGUGGUGGGAGGAAAGAGCAGUUGCUGUAGUUACGCCCGGGGCAUACAUAUUACAUAGCAUGAAGUUUGAGCUCCUCAGAAAGAGAUUGGCGUUACCCUAAGGCCCCGUUUCCAAUACAUACAGCUUUAUCAAAACGAGCCCGGUCCACAGCCACCAAAAUACAGUACAUCUGUGGCUAGGCUGAAACA
rnacentral:lncRNA from 8 species